UAAGAUCUCAACCUGCUCGAAUUUCCUUAAUCCUAAAGCCCUAAGUCCACAUCUGAGUAAGCUGUCGGCUGUGUGAACGAUAGCCCUCCAAGUCUUCUGGGCGGAGGGAUGGUUUACAGGGGAAAGUUUUCUCUGAUGCGAAUGUCUCUCAUUGCUAACAACCUGCCUCGGAUAAGCUAUCAACUGUGUGGGUGAUAACACUCCAAAUCUUCUAGAUGGAAGGGUCACUCAGGCGGGAUAACUUUACCGAGACGGCAUACAGUCACCUAUAUGGGUGAUAAUAUUCCAAGUCUUCUAGGCGGAACAGUCACUCAGUAGGAAAACUUUGCUUACUAUCACCACCCCGAUUUGCAACUGUAAGGGUGGUAACCCUCCAAGUCCAUGGAUGGACGGACCACUCAGACACUAAUACGCCCACAGAUACGUCGAUAAAUACGAACACGGUGUUCAAUACCACAGGGUGCUAACCAAGAGGAUUGUUGCCAAUUCAAUAGGUUGUUUAAAAUCGGGAAGCUUCGGAUAUCCCGCUUUUAAACUUGAAAAGCUUUAAAAAGGCCAAUCCGUAAAAUGAAGCUUUAUUCUUUCUUGCAAUCCAAAAGAAAACACAGGUGCGCGACGGUGAUUUUUUUAAAGUUGUACAGUUUUUAAAAUUAAAUUGUGACGGAAGAUAAUGUUGUUUUGUUCAAAUUCAAAACUAUUGUGAUAGUACAAUGUAAUCCAAUAUCCGAGAAGACAAGUGAUUGUUAGUAGCAAAAAACAAAAGGUCCUGGAGGGGCCUUUUGUGUUUUGGUUCCAGAAAUUUGGACCGUUUCUUCGACAGUCACCAAAAGUGCAACACAAGAACACCGCAUCCGCAUCUAAAAUUAC